GUGGGGAAUAUUGGACAAUGGGCGAAAGCCUGAUCCAGCCAUGCCGCGUGUGUGAAGAAGGUCUUCGGAUUGUAAAGCACUUUAAGUUGGGAGGAAGGGCAGUAAGUUAAUACCUUGCUGUUUUGACGUUACCGACAGAAUAAGCACCGGCUAACUUCGUGCCAGCAGCCGCGGUAAUACGAAGGGCGCAAGCGUUAAUCGGAAUUACUGGGCGUAAAGCGCGCGUAGGUGGUUUUGUAAGUUGGAGGUGAAAUCCCCGGGCUCAACCUGGGAACUGCCUCCAAAACUGCAUGACUAGAGUACGGUAGAGGGUAGUGGAAUUUCCUGUGUAGCGGUGAAAUGCGUAGAUAUAGGAAGGAACACCAGUGGCGAAGGCGACUACCUGGACUGAUACUGACACUGAGGUGCGAAAGCGUGGGGAGCAAACAGGAUUAGAAACCCGAGUAGUCC
rnacentral:rRNA from 1 species